GCAAAGCCAAGUCUAUUGCUGAGAAAACGAGAAGCACCAGUUUCCACUUGAGAUUCUGAUUCAGUAGAUCUGGAGUGAGGCCCUGAAAAGAUUUCCUAACUGGCUCCCAGGAGAUGCCAAUGCUGCCGGCUCAUGGACCACACUUGGAGUUGCAAGGCUUUCGCUGGGACUGUCUCACUCGAAUUUCAAUCCCAACUGGUGGCUCAUAUUCAGACCUUUGAGUGCCUGCUACCGAGAUGCGCUGGGGGACUUGCUCGAGGGUACAGAGCCAGAAGGGAGAAAGUGCAACAGGGCUCUUUUCCACUAACACCUCCGAAGGCAGCAAUUAGGGACCUGAGAAGUCAGCACCUAGCAGACACCGUACAGGUACUGGGCUCCUGGCAAAUGGUGAGUCUGGGCUGCAUCAUAAUUCUAUCUCCAGGGAAGCUUUGGUAAAAACACACAAAACUGAUGUUUUGUGUGUUUUGCUUUUCUCCCCAUCCCAAUGAUUCUCCACUGCCUUAUAUGCAAAACAUUUCCUGCCUGAGGAUUAGGAUUCGGUUGCUGAGAGUUAAAACUCUACUUUUCCCCUAUCAAGAGAACAAAGCCAAAACUCCUCCUUUAAAAAUACAAACUCCUUUUUGCUAUAGAAAUAUUCAAGACAGCCUGUAAUCUCAGUGCUUUGGGAGGCCAAGUGGAAGGAAUGCUUUGAGGCCAGGAGUUCGAGACCAGCCUGGGCAACAUACCUAGACCCCAUGUCUACAAAAAAAUUUUUAAAAGUUAGUCACGCACAGUGGCAACAUGCCUAGAGUUGUAGCUACUUAGGAGGCUGAGGCAGCAGGAUCACUUGAGCCCAGGAGUUCAAGGCAGUAGUG
rnacentral:lncRNA from 1 species